GAUGGACGCUGGCGGCGUGCCUAAUACAUGCAAGUCGAGCGAACGGACGAGAAGCUUGCUUCUCUGAUGUUAGCGGCGGACGGGUGAGUAACACGUGGAUAACCUACCUAUAAGACUGGGAUAAAUUCGGGAAACCGGAGCUAAUACCGGAUGAUAUUUUGAACCGCAUGGUUCAAAAGUGAAAGACGGUCUUGCUGUCACUUAUAGAUGGAUCCGCGCUGCAUUAGCUAGUUGGUAAGGUAACGGCUUACCAAGGCAACGAUGCAUAGCCGACCUGAGAGGGUGAUCGGCCACACUGGAACUGAGACACGGUCCAGACUCCUACGGGAGGCAGCAGUAGGGAAUCUUCCGCAAUGGGCGAAAGCCUGACGGAGCAACGCCGCGUGAGUGAUGAAGGUCUUCGGAUCGUAAAACUCUGUUAUUAGGGAAGAACAUAUGUGUAAGUAACUGUGCACAUCUUGACGGUACCUAAUCAGAAAGCCACGGCUAACUACGUG
rnacentral:rRNA from 1 species